rnacentral:rRNA from 1 species
GACGAACGCUGGCGGCGUGCCUAACACAUGCAAGUCGAGCGAAUGAAGUUCCUUCGGGAAUGGAUUUAGCGGCGGACGGGUGAGUAACACGUGGGCAACCUGCCUCAUAGAGGGGAAUAGCCUUCCGAAAGGGAGAUUAAUACCGCAUAAGAUUGUAGUAUCGCAUGAUACAGCAAUUAAAGGAGCAAUCCGCUAUGAGAUGGGCCCGCGGCGCAUUAGCUAGUUGGUGAGGUAACGGCUCACCAAGGCGACGAUGCGUAGCCGACCUGAGAGGGUGAUCGGCCACAUUGGGACUGAGACACGGCCCAGACUCCUACGGGAGGCAGCAGUGGGGAAUAUUGCAUAAUGGGGGAAACCCUGAUGCAGCAACGCCGCGUGAGUGAUGACGGCCUUCGGGUUGUAAAGCUCUGUCUUCAGGGACGAUAAUGACGGUACCUGAGGAGGAAGCCACGGCUAACUACGUG